rnacentral:SRP_RNA from 1 species
GGCUGGUCGCGGACGGGGCGCUCGCCAACCCGGUCAGGUCCGGAAGGAAGCAGCCGUAACGAGAAGGCUCCGGGUCGCCGGCCGGCCUUC